UACGGAGGGGGCUAGCGUUGUUCGGAAUUACUGGGCGUAAAGCGCACGUAGGCGGCUUUGCAAGUUAGAGGUGAAAGCCCAGGGCUCAACCCUGGAAUUGCCUUUAAAACUGCAUCGCUAGAAUUGUGGAGAGGUAAGUGGAAUUCCGAGUGUAGAGGUGAAAUUCGUAGAUAUUCGGAAGAACACCAGUGGCGAAGGCGACUUACUGGACACAUAUUGACGCUGAGGUGCGAAAGCGUGGGGAGCAAACGGG
rnacentral:rRNA from 1 species